GAUCAUGGCAACUUCUUGCAAUUACGGUCGUACCAACCGUACUGGCAAGGUUACAGGGCCUAAUUUUAUACAGGUUUCGUCAUGAGGGCUGCCCAGUGAAUAAUCUGUGCAGUGUGAUACGGCUGGGUGUACAGGUUACUUCACAGCUGCCUCGACAUACUCAAGAAAUGGGUGCAGAACCUGCGUAAUGCCCACAAACUUUGACUACCACAGCACCUCCAGAAAGUAAAGGCAUAUGUGUCACAUGGGAUUUUUAAAGGCAUUCACAGUAUAUAAUACCUUGUAUGAACUGUUGUAGAUCUAAGCAGCCUCUACAGUACACUCUCAGAAAUUAAAACUUGUCAGGGAACUGUGAUAAUUGUUUCAGUUAAUAGGCAUGCACAUAUACGCUAUAAGAAGAAAAUUAUUUAUUGAGAAUGCACUUGUCUGGCUACUCAUGUUGUUUACAUCUACUAUUGAUCACAUUCAUUUAUCACAUAUUAUAUUCUUAUAUAUUAUUA